UUGACCUAUCAGGUGUAUAGCAUCUACAGUGUGGAUACACUGGACAAAAGGAUGACUAACAUCCUGAGUUAGACACAGCAGGGUGGGCCAAGACUUUAUCAUGUUACUCAGAAUGGAGUGCAAUUUAAAACUCAUGAAUUGUUUAUUUUUGUAAUUUUCUGUUUAAGAUUUUUGAGCUGAGAUUGACCAUGGAUAACUGUCCCACAGAAACUGAAACAGUGGAUAAGGGGUACUACUAUAUCGUUAGGAUAAUAAAGUAGACUACAAAAUAGUUCCAUCAGUAUAACUGCAACUUAAACAAAUACUACACAGAGAGGGGAGAAAAGACUAGAAGGUACCUCACCAAAAAUGUUAGUAAUUUUCUUUACUUUUUUUUUCUUUUUUCUUUUUUUUUUGAGACGGAGUCUUGCUCUGUCACCAGGCUGGAGUGCAGUGGCACGAUGUCAGCUCACUGCAACCUCCGCCUCCCAGGUUCAAGCGAUUCUCCUGCCUCAGCCUCCCAAGUAACUGGGACUACAGAUCCAGCAAGGAGCCUCCCAGAUGGAGUACAUGGAGACCAUGACUGUGAAAGAUGAGGAUCAAGUGCAGAUUUGGUGGCCUCUGAUUGCCAGUAUCUGGCAGCCACAUUCUCUUCCCACAAGAUGUGCUGGAAAUAUGACCAAGCAGAAGUUCACUUAAGUGAAUCCAACAGUUAAACCUACCAUGGAAGGGUGUGGUGCACAGAGGGCAUGUGGAGAAGAGAAGACCACAGUGGGAACCUCCAAGGAACUAACAUCUAGCUGGGGAUGAGGGGGGAUUUGGCUAUGUAGAGAGUAAAUAAAGUGAUAUGAGAAUUAAA
rnacentral:lncRNA from 1 species